rnacentral:rRNA from 1 species
CCUACGGGCGGCAGCAGUGGGGGAUAUUGCACAAUGGAGGAAACUCUGAUGCAGCGACGCCGCGUGAGGGAAGAAGGUCUUCGGAUUGUAAACCCCUGUCGGUGGGGAAGAAAAUGACGGUACCCAAAGAGGAAGCCCCGGCUAACUCCGUGCCAGCAGCCGCGGUAAUACGUAGGGGGCGAGCGUUGUCCGGAGUUACUGGGUGUAAAGGGAGCGUAGGCGGGAGGGAAAGUCGAAUGUUAAAUCAACCGGCUAAACUGGUGGCUGCGUUUAGAAAUUCAUGUCUUGAGUGAAGUAGAGGCAGGCGGAAUUCCUAGUGUAGCGGUGAAAUGCGUAGAUAUUAGGAGGAACACCAGUGGCGAAGGCGGCCUGCUGGGCUGUGACUGACGCUGAGGCUCGAAAGCGUGGGGAGCAAACAGGAUUAGAUACCCCUGUAGUC